rnacentral:rRNA from 1 species
CCUACGGGAGGCAGCAGUAGGGAAUAUUGCUCAAUGGGGGAAACCCUGAAGCAGCAAUGCCGCGUGGAGGAUGAAGGUUUUAGGAUUGUAAACUACUUUCGUUCGAGAAGAUUAUGUCAGUAUUUAACGACUAAGCACCGGCUAACUCCGUGCCAGCAGCCGCGGUAAUACGGAGGGUGCAAGCGCUACUCGGAAUCACUGGGCGUAAAGAGUGCGUAGGUGGGGGAAUGAGUCAGAUGUGAAAUCCUGUAGCUUAACAAGAGAACUGCAUUUGAUACUGGUACGCUGGAGUGUGGGAGAGGGGGGUAGAAUUCUAGGUGUAGGGGUAAAAUCCGUAGAGA